GGGCGGAUAGCUCAGUCGGAAGAGCAGGAGCUUUACAAGCUCCGGGUCGCAGGUUCGAGCCCUGUUCCGCCCACC
rnacentral:tRNA from 1 species